UGCCGGCCGCGUCGUCUCGUUGGCUCACUAGCUAGGUCCCGCUUCUUUCAUUUCACAUUCAUUCAUCAUCUUGGAGGAUCACGGUUAGAGAUCGGCCUACGAACGAUCAUCCCUGGUGACAAAUAUCAGGCGAGAUCCGGCGUCAAGUUUGGCGAGAUGGCCUCUUCAGAUGAGAUCAGGGAGCGGCAAGAUGGUCUCUGUGUGGAUAAGAUUAGGGAGUGUCUGAAAUGUGCAGAUUGAUCCCAUCAUCUCGUUCUGGAGACCGCAUUUCUCUCAUCUGAUGGAUCGCGCGUGAUCGACUUACCUUCUGGAGACGACGUUUCUCUCAUCUAAUGGAUGGAUCAUGCCUGACUGCCUAGUUGCCUCUGCCCAUGAAUGUGCGAACUAACACCAUGGAAAAUCCGAUGGAAGUUUAAGCACUAAUUCUCCGUGCUCUUCUUUGACUUUGAAUGGCAAUCUGAGCCGAUCUAGUACAUGCGUUCGUCUUUCUUUUUCAUCUAAAUAAUUUGAAUAUGCAUACAUGACUCCAACAUUGUUAUUAUUGUUUUUUGUUUAUUUCAAGCUGGGUUCACAAUGAUGACUUUUCCCAUGGAACAUGUAUGAACUCGCAUGUGCUCCAAUCAUUAUGAACACAUAUUUUAUUUUAUUCUAAUAAAAAUAGUUGAAUAGUUUUGUAUAUCUCCCAUAAGUGAAUGUAUGCACAUAUACUUCGAUCGUGUAGUUUAAGUA